rnacentral:lncRNA from 1 species
AAUUGAUAAGCAAUAAUCAUUAAAUGCUUGGGAUGAAAACUCAGCAGCAUAAUCUAGUCUAAUAGACUUAAUUGGAUUAUCAGGAAAUUGUGCUCGUAAUCGAAUUAUUUGUGCCAUUUACUUUGCAAACGCAAGGUUGCGUGAUGACAAUAGGCACACAUGAGACCAUCUAGAGGAUGCGUCUAUUAAGACCAUAAAAUAUCUAAAGGACCCACUAGNN